GAAAUGCGAUAAGUAGUGUGAAUUGCAGAAUUCAGUGAAUCAUCGAAUCUUUGAACGCACAUUGCGCCCCUUGGUAUUCCAUGGGGCAUGCCUGUUCGAGCGUCAUUUGUACCUUCAAGCUUUGCUUGGUGUUGGGUGUUUGUCUCGCCUCUGCGUGUAGACUCGCCUCAAAACUAUUGGCAGCCGGCGUAUUGAUUUCGGAGCGCAGUACAUCUCGCGCUUUGCACUCAUAACGACGACGUCCAAAAGUACAUUUUUACACUCUUGACCUCGGAUCAGGUAGGGAUUCCCGCUGAACUUAAGC
rnacentral:misc_RNA from 1 species